rnacentral:rRNA from 1 species
UUAAGUGAACAAGGGCAUACGGCGGAUGCCUUGGCGCCAAGAGCCGAUGAAGGACGCGGUAAGCUGCGAAAAGGCAUGGGUAGGAGCAAGCAUCCAGUGAUCCAUGCAUAUCCGAAUGGGGCAACCCACCAUCAGUCAUGUGAUGGUACGAAAGAGGCAGACCUGGGGAACUGAAACAUCUAAGUACCCAGAGGAAAAGUAAUCAAUUGAGAUUCCCUAAGUAGCGGCGAGCGAAAGGGGAAGAGCCCAAACCAUGAAACUUCGGUUUUGUGGGGUUGAGGACCGGCAAAAAGAGGAAACUUCUUAGUCGAAUGGUUUGGAAAGGCCAUGCACAGAAGGUAAAACACCUGUAGGCGAAAAGAAGUCAAUCGGGCUGGUAUCCAGAGUACUGCGAGACACGUGAAACCUUGCAGGAAGCAGGGGGGACCACCCUCCAAGGCAAAAUACUACUUGGCGACCGAUAGCGCAUAGUACCGUGAGGGAAAGGUGAAAAGAACCCCGGGAGGGGAGUGAAAUAGAACCUGAAACCGUAUGUCUACAAGCAGUCGAAGCACCUUAAGAGUGCGACGGCGUGCCUAUUGAAGAAUGAACCGGCGAGUUACAUUAUGUUGCGAGGUUAAGUGGGAGACACGGAGCCGAAGCGAAAGCGAGUCUUAAUAGGGCGACUAGUAACAUGGUGUAGACCCGAAACCGCAGUGAUCUAUCCAUGGUCAGGUUGAAGCGCAGGUAAAAAUGCGUGGAGGACCGAACCCGUGAGUGUUGAAAAACUUUGGGAUGAACCGUGGAUAGGGGUGAAAUGCCAAUCGAACGCGGAGAUAGCUGGUACUCCCCGAAAUAGCUUUAGGGCUAGCCUCAGGGAAGAUUAUAGACGGUAGAGCACUGAUCUGGCAAGGGGGCGUAAAGCCUACCGACCCUAGUCAAACUUCGAAUGGCUAUAAUUAAGACCCUGGGAGUCAGACUGCGAGUGAUAAGACCCGUAGUCAAGAGGGAAACAGCCCAGACCGCCGACUAAGGUCCCCAAUGCUGUACUAAGUGGAAAAGGAUGUAAGACUUCAUAAACAACCAGGAUGUUGGCUUAGAAGCAGCCACCAUUAAAAGAGUGCGUAAUAGCUCACUGGUCGAGAGGCCUUGCGCCGAAGAUGUCCGGGGCUCAAGUACAGAACCGAAGUCGCGGCAGGAUUAUAUAAUUCUGGGUAGGGGAGCGUUGUAUAUCCGACUGAAGGUGUACCGGAAGGAGCGCUGGAGGAUAUACAAGAGAGAAUGCCGGUAUGAGUAGCGAAAAGAACAGUGAGAAUCUGUUCCACCGAAAGCCUAAGGUUUCCUGAGCAACGCUCGUCGACUCAGGGUAAGUCGGGACCUAAGCCGAGGCAAAAAGCAUAGGCGAUGGACAACAGGUUAAUAUUCCUGUACCGCUUCAAAUCGUUUGAGCAAUGGAGUGACACAGAAGGUAGCUUGAGCACGCGAAUGGAUGUGCGUGUCGAAGGUGGUAGGUUGCAGUAUAGGUAAAUCCGUACUGUAUAAGACCGAGAACUGAUAGAUAGACGAUACUUCGGUAAAGUCAAAUUCAAGUGAGCCAUGCUGUCGAGAAAAGCUUCUAGUGAGAGAUGAGGCGCCCGUACCGAAACCGACACAGGUAGGCGGGGAGAGAAUCCUAAGGUGCGCGGGACAACCCUCGUUAAGGAACUCGGCAAAUUGUAUCCGUAACUUAGGGAUAAGGAUAGCCGGAGGAUGUGAAGGGAUUUACUUCUGGAGCGUCAGCCGGUGGCACAAGAGAGGCCCAAGCGACUGUUUAGCACAAACACAGGUGCCUGCAAAAGAGAAAUCUGACGUAUAGGUGCUGACACCUGCCCGGUGCUGGAAGGUUAAGAGGAGGGCUUAGAGGAAACUCGAAGGCUUGAAUUGAAGCCCCAGUAAACGGCGGCCGUAACUAUAACGGUCCUAAGGUAGCGAAAUUCCUUGUCGGGUAAGUUC